UGGGGAAUAUUGGACAAUGGGGGCAACCCUGAUCCAGCAAUGCCGCGUGUGUGAAGAAGGUCUUCGGAUUGUAAAGCACUUUCGACGGGGACGAUGAUGACGGUACCCGUAGAAGAAGCCCCGGCUAACUUCGCGCCAGCAGCCGCGGUAAUACGAAGGGGGCUAGCGUUGCUCGGAAUGACUGGGCGUAAAGGGCGUGUAGGCGGUUUACACAGUCAGAUGUGAAAUCCCCGGGCUUAACCUGGGAGCUGCAUUUGAUACGUGUAGACUAGAGUGUGAGAGAGGGUUUGUGGAAUUCCCAGUGUAGAGGUGAAAUUCG
rnacentral:rRNA from 1 species